UCAAAACAAACAUGACCAGACGAAAGCUCCAAGAUGUAACAAUUAUGUUCACAACAGAUUUGUAUCUUACCCUCAAAGAUUCUCUCUGUGCUGCAUGGCCAUAGCCCCUGAAGAACCUUCCAGAAACCCCAAGCUGCUCGGAGCACCAUCUGAAACACAGUCCCUCCCCUUCCACUUUACAACCAGAGGAAACUGAGACCCAGACAGCCAAUGACACUCGCCUGAGGUCCCAGCUUACGGUUCUUCUACCUGAAGGAGACAAGUGAUGGCAUGGAAGUAAGACAGACCCGGUGGACCAGGGAAGAGGCAGGAAGACCCGCCCUGAUUGAUGCCAAGCACGGGAUAGCUAUAGAUGCCCAACCUGGGCCUGAUGAUUAGCUGGAGGAAACAGAGGCACCCAGUGAACCUGUCAGCAUUUUCUAUCACUUUUCUGGAACCUAGGAAAGGAUAUCUUAUUGUUGUUCAGUUGCUCAGUCACAUCUGACUUUUUGUAACCCCAUGGAUUGCAG